AACGAACGCUGGCGGCAGGCUUAACACAUGCAAGUCGAACGCAUCCUUCGGGGUGAGUGGCAGACGGGUGAGUAACGCGUGGGAACGUGCCCUUCAGUUCGGGAUAACCCAGGGAAACUUGGGCUAAUACCGGAUACGUGCGAGAGCAGAAAGAUUUAUCGCUGAAGGAUCGGCCCGCGUCUGAUUAGCUAGUUGGUGGGGUAAUAGCGCACCAAGGCGACGAUCAGUAGCUGGUCUGAGAGGAGGGUCAGCCACAUUGGGACUGAGACACGGCCCAAACUCCUACGGGAGGCAGCAGUGGGGAAAAUUGGACACGGGGCGCAAGCCUGAUCCAGCCAUGCCGCGUGAGUGAUGAAGGCCUUAGGUUUGUAAAGCUCUUUCGUCCGGGACGAUAAUGACGGUACCGGACGAAGAGGCCCCGGCUAACUUCGUGCCAGCAGCCGCGGUAA
rnacentral:rRNA from 1 species